GACGAACGCUGGCGGCGUGCUUAACACAUGCAAGUCGAACGGUGAAGCGCCUUCCUUUUUGGUGGGUGUGGAUGAGUGGCGAACGGGUGAGUAACACGUGAGUAACCUGCCCCCUUCUUCUGGAUAACCGCAUGAAAGUGUGGCUAAUACGGGAUAUUCUGGGUCUGUCGCAUGAUGGGUCUGGGAAAGAUAUUGUUUCGGUGGGGGAUGGGCUCGCGGCCUAUCAGCUUGUUGGUGGGGUGAUGGCCUACCAAGGCGGUGACGGGUAGCCGGCCUGGGAGGGUGGACGGUCACACUGGGGCUGAGACACGGCCCAGACUACGACGGGAGGCAGCAGUGGGGAAUAUUGCACGAUGGGCGGAAGCCUGAUGCAGCGACGCCGCGUGAGGGAUGGAGGCCUUCGGGUUGUGAACCUCUUUCGCCAGUGAAGCAGGCCUGCCUCGUUUGUGGGUGGGUUGACGGUAGCUGGAUAAGAAGCGCCGGCUAACUACGUG
rnacentral:rRNA from 1 species